rnacentral:rRNA from 1 species
GAACUUAAGCAUAUCAAUAAGCGGAGGAAAAGAAACUAACAAGGAUUCCCCUAGUAACUGCGAGUGAGGCGGGAAAAGCUCAAAUUUAAAAUCUGGUGGUCCCGAGUUGGCUGCCCGAGUUGUAAUCUAGAGAAGUGCUUUCCGCGCUGGACCGUGUACAAGUCUCUUGGAACGGAGCGUCGUAGAGGGUGACAAUCCCGUCUUUGACACGGACUGCCAGGGCUUAUGUGAUGCGCUCUCGAAGAGUCGAGUUGUUUGGGAAUGCAGCUCAAAAUGGGUGGUAAAUUCCAUCUAAAGCUAAAUAUGGGCGAGAGACCGAUAGCGAACAAGUACCGUGAGGGAAAGAUGAAAAGAACUUUGAAAAGAGAGUUAAACAGUACGUGAAAUUGUUGAAAGGGAAACGAUUCAAGUCAGUCGCGUUGGCCGGUAAUCAACCCUUGCGAAGGCGGGGGCUUACUUUCCGUCUGACGGGUCAGCAUCAAUUUUGACCGUCAGAUAAAGGUUUGGGGAACGUGGCAUCUUCGGAUGUGUUAUAGCCCCUUGUCAGAUGUGACGGUUGGGAUUGAGGAACUUGGCACGCCCGCAAAGGGUCGGGGCUUUUUGCCCACGUAACGUGCUUUGGAUGCUGGCAUAAUGGCUUGAACCGACCCGUCUUGAAACACGGACCAAGGAGUCUAACAUGCCUGCGAGUGUUUGGGUGGCAAACUCGAGCGCGAAGUGAAAGUGAAACUUGUCGAGAUCUCUGUCGUGGGGAGCACCGACGCCCGGACCUGACCUUUUGUGAAGGAUCCGCGGUUGAGCAUGCAUGUUGGGACCCGAAA